rnacentral:rRNA from 1 species
UACGUAGGGUGCGAGCGUUAAUCGGAAUUACUGGGCGUAAAGCGUGCGUAGGCGGUUCCUCAAGUCCGUUGUGAAAGCCCCGGGCUCAACCUGGGAAUGGCAGUGGAAACUAGGGGACUGGAAUCUGGCAGAGGGGGGUGGAAUGCCGCGUGUAGCAGUGAAAUGCGUAGAGAUGCGGCGGAACACCGACUGGCGAAGGCAGCCCCUGGGCUGAGAUUGACGCCUCAGGCACGAAAGCGUGGGGAGCAAACAGGAUUAGAUACCCUACGGUAGUCCAGGACCAAGUCCGUGUGACCUGACCCUUAAACUACAACCCGACUCGCCGACAGGAGGAGG